GAUGCCGUAGCCGUUGGAAAGGCAUAGGUUUGCAAAACCGAAGUUGGCGGUUCGAAUCCGCCUGGUAUCA
rnacentral:tRNA from 1 species